rnacentral:tRNA from 1 species
GGGCCCGUAGCUCAGCCUGGUUAGAGCACCUGGCUUUUAACCAGGGUGCCGAGGGUUCGAACACAUCACUGAAGCGGGCGCAUUCGGCGAUGCCGAACGUCCCUCCGGGCCCA